rnacentral:rRNA from 1 species
CCUACGGGUGGCAGCAGUCGAGAAUCAUUCACAAUGGGGGAAACCCUGAUGGUGCGACGCCGCGUGGGGGAAUGAAGGUCUUCGGAUUGUAAACCCCUGUCAUGUGGGAGCAAAUUAAAAAGAUAGUACCACAAGAGGAAGAGACGGCUAACUCUGUGCCAGCAGCCGCGGUAAUACAGAGGUCUCAAGCGUUGUUCGGAAGCACUGGGCGUAAAGCGUGCGUAGGCUGUUUCGUAAGUUGUGUGUGAAAGGCGCGGCCUCAACCCGCGGAAGGCACAUGAUACUGCGAGACUAGAGGACAGGAGGGGGAACUGGAAUUCUCAGUGUAGCAGUGAAAUGCGUAGAUAUCGGGAGGAACACUGGUGGCGAAGGCGGGUUCCUGGACAGUAACUGACGCUGAGGCACGAAGGCCAGGGGAGCGAAAGGGAUUAGAUACCCGUGUAGUC